AACGGCCUGGCACGACCAUGUAUAUAUACGAAGGUCGUUCAAUAAGUCCAUGACUUGGAAGAUGGUGUAUCUUUCAGGUCACUACGUUCAUUUGGAAAUUUUUUACAAUCAUUUGAAUUUAGUUUUUUAUUGUGUAAACAAAAUCAUGGAAAAAAUGAGUUUCGUGUGCUUAUUAAACAUUAUUUCCUACUGGGAAAAUCAAUCAAAGAAACUGAAAAAAAGCUCAGGAAUUAUUAUGGAGAUUGCUUUAGAAUUAUUAUGGACAUUGGCAUGGUUCAAAAUUUACUGAAUUUUGUUGCAGCCGUAAGAGCACAAGUGAUGCUGAGCGUAUUAGCCGUCCAAAAGAGUAGGAUGCACAUGGAAUAUUUUACAUAAAUGUUUGGGCAUGAAAAAUUUGCCAUACUGAAAAAAGCGACCCCAUUUGGAUAAAAAAAAGUGCUUUACCACCACGGCAAUGCACCAGCUUACAGGAGUUCUAUUUCAACGGCUAAAUUAUUUGAUUUAAAUACUUUAUCAUCCACCUAAUUCUCCAGAUUUGACUUUCGAUUAUGUUUUGUUUCCUGACAUGAAAAUUUGUC